ACCAUCGAUCGUUGACUGUACA
rnacentral:miRNA from 2 species